UACGGAGGGAGCUAGCGUUGUUCGGAAUUACUGGGCGUAAAGCGCGCGUAGGCGGCUUUGUAAGUUAGAGGUGAAAGCCCGGGGCUCAACCCCGGAACUGCCUUUAAAACUGCAUCGCUUGAAUCCGGGAGAGGUGAGUGGAAUUCCGAGUGUAGAGGUGAAAUUCGUAGAUAUUCGGAAGAACACCAGUGGCGAAGGCGACCCACUGGACCGGCAUUGACGCUGAGGUGCGAAAGCGUGGGGAGCAAAUAGG
rnacentral:rRNA from 1 species